rnacentral:rRNA from 1 species
UACAGAGGGUGCGAGCGUUGUCCGGAAUCACUGGGCGUAAAGGGCGCGUAGGCGGCCACUGCAAGUCAGUUGUGAAAUCUCCGGGCUUAACCCGGAAAGGUCAACUGAUACUGCAGGGCUAGAGUGCAGAAGGGGCAACUGGAAUUCUCGGUGUAGCGGUGAAAUGCGUAGAUAUCGAGAGGAACACCUGCGGCGAAGGCGGGUUGCUGGGCUGACACUGACGCUGAUGUGCGAAAGCCAGGGGAGCGAACGGG